rnacentral:lncRNA from 1 species
GAAAUGCCCAUUGAGGCAGCCCCUGGACUUCACUUUGAUAGAAUGGCGUGUGGGGAAUAUCAGGAAAGAUGGAAUUAGCAGCAGCUCAGAGGAGCAGAGCAGCCUGGCAAGAGAGAGACAAAAAAGACCACUGCGUUUGGCUCCUCCGGCAACUGUACCCAACCUGGGACCUCCCAGCUGCUCCCAAGGAGGAAAGACAGCCCGCAGACUCAGUGAACUCUGGACACAGCUGUGCUGGAGAUUUUCACGUUGCUGUCGGACCAGGAGCUUGCAGGAGGCAGUUCCGGAGUGCAGAUGGCCUCAACUGGGAGAGGGAGAGGGAUCCUGCCACGUGGGGCACGGAAACGAGCCUCGGGUUCUUUAUUUCUGAAAGAGUCAAGGUGACAUCUACAGAGAGUUCCCGCUUCCUUCUCACAGAGAAGGCCGGUGGUGACGCCUGGCGGUGGAGAGAAGAACAGCCGCGACUUCUGCUGCAGGAACUUCUAUCAAGAAGCUCGUAG